AUGAGGUCUCCCACCCUUUGUGGGUUAAGGCCCCCAACAGACCAUUGGGUUGAUAGGCCAGAAAUGGACGCACAGUAAUGUGUUUUGAGUUGACUGGUACUAAUAGGCCGAGGACUUGCCCAC
rnacentral:rRNA from 1 species